GCCUGUCAACAAAAACAACAGACAACUUAAACGUGAGCAUUACAUCAUAGGAGACUUCAAAUCGCUGGUACUGAUACCACCACCAACACAGUGCUGUGGAUGAUGCUCUACAUGGUCGUGUAUCCAGAUAUCCAAGAGAGGGUGCAGGCGGAGAUCGAUGCAGUGGUGGGCCCAGACAGGGUCCCGUCUCUCACUGAUAAAGGCAGCCUGCCGUUCACAGAGGCCAUGAUCAUGGAGGUGCAGAGGUUGACUGUGGUGGUCAGUUAAGAACAAAUUCUUAUUUACAAUGACAGCCUACCCCGGCCAACGUUGGGCCAAUUGUGCGCCGCCCUAUGGGACUCCAAAUCACGGCCGGAUGUGAUAUAGCCUGGAAUCGAACCAGGGACUGUAGUGACGCCUCUUGCACUGAGGUGCAGUGCCUUAGACCGCUGCACCACUCGGGAGCAUUAGCACAACAAACAAAGACAAGAGCCUCACUGCAUAAUAAAUAGUCCUCUUUUUAAUUUGUUUGUCUUUUAGCAGAUCCUCUUAUUAAGAGUAACUUACAGGAGCAAUUAGGGUUAAGUGCCUUGCACAAAGGGCACAUCUACAGAUUUCACCUAGUCAGCUAGGGGAAUGGAACCAGCAACACCUUUCAGUUACUGGUCCAACCUAUUAACCGCUAGGCUACUACCCAGUGUGGCAAAAGCCAAAAAAGAUCAGACCCCUCCCUCAGUGGCCGGUCCAGAUCCAGAGCCACAUUUAUGGGCUCUAAGACCAACUAUUGACUGGGGAAUAAAAGAAGAAACUGCCACAACAGCAUGCGACCAGCAGAGGGAGCCAAAUGCACAGGAACUACAAGUACUGAGCAUUAAACAAGAACCAACCUACAGGAAGACUGAGGAGGAGUGGUAUGAACAGACCUACCAAACCAACGCCCCAACGGAAGAAUACUUAUGGGCAUCAGUGCUGAAGGAACUAACAUUGGACUAAGUGCUACAUAAUCUUGAGCACGCGGCAAAGAAAAGUGGCAAGGACAUAAUGUAAUGGCACACUGUGUUAAGAUAGAUGGCACUCCUGAACAUCUUUCCCCCAAACUGACCUCUAAAAGAGGUGUAAAAGGAGGAGAGAUCAGUGCCUAGCCAUGAUCCUCUACCCAUAUGAUUUGGACAUCAGAGAAUCAUCAGACCAGGUAAAUUACCUUUACUAUACUCUGUUUGUAUUGACUACUUUGACAUCAAGGCACGAGCAAACUAUUGACUGGUAUAUCUUAAGAAUUGUGUUGUACACUGGAGGCUCACACCACAUAAAAAGAAUAAGAGAACAAGGUUGUGAAAGAGAGAACUUCACCCCUCAACAGCGCGAGGCGUAGAGAACUCUUGGGAGCAACAAGUUCCAUCUUUGGUGUGUCAGUGACAAUUGCAGUUUGGAAAGAUUAAAAAAGGCCAGAAAUAAGUAAGCCUCGUAGUAGCAGAGGGUCGAUAAAAGGGAAUCAAUAUCUAAACAGUAGGCAGUAAAAACCAUAGGAAAUUCGGACUAAAUAAGAAAAUUAUAGUAUUAUAAAACAGCGGAGGCCAAAAUAUGACUACUCUUAUAAAGAGCAGUGGAAGGACCAAGGGAAUAGAGCUUCAAGGUAAAUAUAUGGGUGUUUGCUUUGUUUAAGAGUUAUAAGAAGUGUGUUAAGUGAUUUACAUUUGCAAUAUUAUCUGGCAUAGUAUAGCGCAUUAAGGAUUGAUUGAGCAUUAUUGAUGUAUUAGGACUGUAGAACCAUUGAAUUGUAAUAAUGUGUAUAAGACAAAAAACAGAGUGACUUAAUAAAAGCUUGAAACUUUGACAACUAGGCCAGAUUAACGAUCUGGAGAGCAAACGCCUCUGACACUCUCACGGAACAGAAAGUGACCCUGGUUAUAGGUUAAAGUGAUUGCACUAAAGAAUA